AUAUUAUUAUUAUUAUUAUUUUAUUAUUAUUCUUGUCACGUGGCAGUUUCAGAAUCACAUAUUUUACUUUUCAUCAGUGACCACUAACAAAAAAAGGUUGAAUGAGGAUAAAUAGUGAAAAAUAUACCUGCUAUAGAGAAAUUGGAAGAAAAUACACAAGUAUAAAAUGGCAUGUCAUGUGAAAGAUUGGUGGAGUAGAACAAUGGUUUGGUCGCUCUAAUCAACCCACGCAGACGCAGUUCUUCCCCAACCACAACCAUUGCUAGCCGUUGCUUGUGGCUCUUUAUAGGAAUCUUCUACUUUCUUUCCAUGGCCAAAGCCUCUUCCUCUUUGGGGACCAUUUCGAACAAGAAAGCACAUGACAUGCUAUUGCUAGUAUUUUCAUUUUGUCUCUGUCUAUCAAAAAUAUAUUAAUUUUACUACAGGAAAGUUGAAAAGACAAUGAACUUGUUUUCAAAUUGAAAAUCUUUUUA
rnacentral:misc_RNA from 1 species